AUUGAACGCUGGCGGCAUGCCUUACACAUGCAAGUCGAACGGCAGCACGGGUGCUUGCACCUGGUGGCGAGUGGCGAACGGGUGAGUAAUACAUCGGAACGUACCUUAUCGUGGGGGGUAACGCAGCGAAAGCUGUGCUAAUACCGCAUACGCCCUGAGGGGGAAAGCGGGGGAUCGAAAGACCUCGCGCGAUUAGAGCGGCCGAUGCCUGAUUAGCUUGUUGGUGGGGUAAAAGCCCACCAAGGCGACGAUCAGUAGCUGGUCUGAGAGGACGAGCAGCCACACUGGGACCGAGACACGGACCAGACUCCUACGGGAGGCAGCAGUGGGGAAGUUUGGACAAUGGGGGCAACCCUGAUCCAGCAAUGCCGCGUGAGUGAAGAAGGCAUUCGGGUUGUAAAGCUCUUUUGUCAGGGAAGAAACACCGGCUCUAACACAGUCCGGGAAUGACGGUACCUGAAGAAUAAGCACCGGCUAACUACGUGCCAGCCGCCGCCGUAA
rnacentral:rRNA from 1 species